rnacentral:rRNA from 1 species
GAUGAACGCUGGCGGCGUGCCUAAUACAUGCAAGUCGAGCGAACAGACGAGGAGCUUACUCCUCUGACGUUAGCGGCGGACGGGUGAGUAACACGUGGAUAACCUACCUAUAAGACUGGGAUAACUUCGGGAAACCGGAGCUAAUACCGGAUAACAUGUUGAACCGCAUGGUUCAACAGUGAAAGACGGUCUUGCUGUCACUUAUAGAUGGAUCCGCGUCGCAUUAGCUAGUUGGUAAGGUAACGGCUUACCAAGGCAACGAUGCGUAGCCGACCUGAGAGGGUGAUCGGCCACACUGGAACUGAGACACGGUCCAGACUCCUACGGGAGGCAGCAGUAGGGAAUCUUCCGCAAUGGGCGAAAGCCUGUCGGAGCAACGCCGCGUGAGUGAAGAAGGUCUUCGGAUCGUAAAACUCUGUUAUUAGGGAAGAACAAAUGUGUAAGUAACUAUGCACGUCUUGACGGUACCUAAUCAGAAAGCCACGGCUAACUACGUG